GGCGAAAGCCUGAUCCAGCAAUGCCGCGUGUGUGAAGAAGGCCUUCGGGUUGUAAAGCACUUUUGUCCGGAAAGAAAUCCUUGGCUUAAUACAGUCGGGGGAUGACGGUACCGGAAGAAAAAGCACCGGCUAACUACGUGCCAGCAGCCGCGGUAAUACGUAGGGUGCAAGCGUUAAUCGGAAUUACUGGGCGUAAAGCGUGCGCAGGCGGUUUGCUAAGACCGAUGUGAAAUCCCCGGGCUCAACCUGGGAACUGCAUUGGUGACUGGCAGGCUAGAGUAUGGCAGAGGGGGGUAGAAUUCCACGUGUAGCAGUGAAAUGCGUAGAGAUGUGGAGGAAUACCGAUGGCGAAGGCAGCCCCCUGGGCCAAUACUGACGCUCAUGCACGAAAGCGUGGGGAGCAAACAGGAUUAGAUACCC
rnacentral:rRNA from 1 species